rnacentral:rRNA from 1 species
UGAUGGAGGGAUUACUACUGGAAACGGUAGCUAAUACCGCAUAACGCUAAGACCAAAGAGGGGGACCUUCGGGCCUCUUGCCAUCAGAUGUGCCCAGAUGGGAUUAGCUAGUAGGUGGGGUAACGGCUCACCUAGGCGACCAUCCCUAGCUGGUCUGAGAGGAUGACCAGCCACACUGAAACUGAGACACGGUCCAGACUCCUACGGGAGGCAGCAGUGGGGAAUAUUGCACAAUGGGCGCAAGCCUGAUGCAGCCAUGCCGCGUGUAUGAAGAAGGCCUUCGGGUUGAAAAGUACUUUCUGGGGGGAGGAAGGUGUUGUGGUUAAAAACCACAACAAUUGACGUUACCCGCAGAAAAAACACCGGGUUUACUCCUUGCCCACAGCCGCGGUAAUACUGAGGGGGGAAGCCUUAAUAGGAAAUACCGGGGGUAAAGUCCCCGCUGGCGGUCUUUUUAAAUCCGAUGGGAAAUCCCCCUGGCUCGGCCCGGGAACU